UAACACAUGCAAGUCGAACGGAGCACCCUUGAUUGAGGUUUCGGCCAAAUGAUAGGAAUGCUUAGUGGCGGACUGGUGAGUAACGCGUGAGGAACCUGCCUUUCAGAGGGGGACAACAGUUGGAAACGACUGCUAAUACCGCAUGACGCAUUUUGAUCGCAUGGUCGAAAUGCCAAAGAUUUAUCGCUGAAAGAUGGCCUCGCGCCUGAUUAGCUAGUUGGUGAGGUAACGGCCCACCAAGGCGACGAUCAGUAGCCGGACUGAGAGGUUGACCGGCCACAUUGGGACUGAGAUACGGCCCAGACUCCUACGGGAGGCAGCAGUGGGGAAUAUUGGGCAAUGGGCGCAAGCCUGACCCAGCAACGCCGCGUGAAGGAAGAAGGCUUUCGGGUUGUAAACUUCUUUUAAGUGGGAAGAGCAGAAGACGGUACCACUUGAAUAAGCCACGGCUAACUACGUGCCAGCAGCCGCGGUAAUACGUAGGUGGCAAGCGUUGUCCGGAUUUACUGGGUGUAAAGGGCGUGCAGCCGGGCAUGCAAGUCAGAUGUGAAAUCUCAGGGCUUAACCCUGAAACUGCAUUUGAAACUGUAUGUCUUGAGUGCCGGAGAGGUAAUCGGAAUUCCUUGUGUAGCGGUGAAAUGCGUAGAUAUAAGGAAGAACACCAGUGGCGAAGGCGGAUUACUGGACGGUAACUGACGGUGAGGCGCGAAAGCGUGGGGAGCGAACAGGAUUAGAUACCCUGGUAGUCCACGCUGUAAACGAUGGAUACUAGGUGUGCGGGGACUGACCCCCUGCGUGCCGCAGUUAACACAAUAAGUAUCCCACCUGGGGAGUACGAUCGCAAGGU
rnacentral:rRNA from 1 species